CAGAAGGGACUGCCUUCCCCUCAGUGCUCGCCCCUCCCUAGUGAUCACUCAGUGCCCCUGAGCUCAUUCUUUUCAGUAAAUUCUCUCUCUGCGUGGUGAGAAAACAGGCCUGGAGAGGCUCUGCGACCCGCUUAGGACCACAGAACUCGAGAAUUACCUUUUCCAGGGACGGCAGGAAUGCUACGCGUUUAAUGGGACACAGCGCUUCCUGGAGAGAUACAUCUACAACCGGGAGGAGUUCGUGCGCUUCGACAGCGACGUGGGGGAGUUCCGGGCGGUGACGGAGCUGGGGCGGCCUGAUGAGGAGUACUGGAACAGCCAGAAGGACAUCCUGGAGGAGAAGCGGGCAGUGCCGGACAGGAUGUGCAGACACAACUACGAGCUGGGCGGGCCCAUGACCCUGCAGCGCCGAGUCCAGCCU
rnacentral:misc_RNA from 1 species